rnacentral:tRNA from 1 species
GGGGUUGUAGCUCAGUGGUAGAGCACUUGCCUUGCAUGUAUGAGGACCUAGGUUUGAUCCUCAGCACCA